rnacentral:tmRNA from 1 species
GGGGUCGACUGGUUUUGACAGCAAGUCGAAUUGAAAAGUAAGCACGUCGAGAACUGGGACAAUUCUCGUAAAUAAAAGGUUUCAAACAUUUUACACGGCGAAGGAAACUACGCUCUUGCUGCAUAAUCUGAAUUAUAGUAAGAUGAGCCUCGUUCCUACAAGGUAGGAAAGUGAGAUUUACCUCGAAAGCUUUGGUUUAUGGCGGUCGAUAAAGGUGAAUCGUAAAUUUAAACCUAGAAAUGGCCAAGCUUCGGAGCUGUUUCGAAAUUAAGAGGCUAAGUGUUUUGUGGUUGUUUCUGACCGGGCAAAACGUCGAAAAUUCAAUCAGGAAAUAAGCGUGUAGAAAGUUUUUUAGUUGCUUGUUUGGACGGGAGUUCGAUUCUCCCCGACUCCACAA